UACGGGGGGGGCAAGCGUUGUUCGGAAUUACUGGGCGUAAAGGGCUCGUAGGCGGCCAACUAAGUCGGAUGUGAAAUCCCCAGGCUUAACCUGGGAACUGCAUCCGAUACUGGAUGGCUUGAAUCCGGGAGAGGGAUGCAGAAUUCCAGGUGUAGCGGUGAAAUGCGUAGAUAUCGGGAGGAACAUCCGUGGCGAAGGCGACUACCUGGACCAGCACUGACACUGAGGCACGAAAGCGUGGGGAGCAAACAGG
rnacentral:rRNA from 1 species